rnacentral:sRNA from 1 species
CCUUAGCACCGGGAGCAGCGGUAUCCUUUGCUUUUUCGUUUAAAAAGCAAAGAUAUAGCGAAUCACGGGACGAUAU